AUGCAGACUAAGAUUAAAUGUGAGAAGAGGGGUUUAGAAGCUGAAUCAGAACUUGAAGAUUCAGAGCACCAUGUGAGAUGCUUGGAGGUGCUUGGAGAUGACCUAGAACUUGUGCUGAAAGGCAGCUCCAGGACCAAGCUGCACAUGAGGGACUUGCCUUGGAUCACAAUCUUCCAUUUCAAAAGUGAUGAAAACCACUGCAUGGAUAUAUUUUUCAAAGCCCACUUGAGAGGAGGAAGUUGGACUUUUCUCAUGUGUCCUGCAUUCUCAGGUUGGGUACAAAAGGGUCUGCUAGGCCCCAGGUCAAAGGCUUCCAUAUCCAAGGCCUGAGGUUAUUGCUGAACUGACCUGCUAGCUGAGUCAAAUGUCUGGGAGAAAUCAUCCCAUCUUUCAUGUUUCCAGGCUCCCGAGGGGAAGCAUGAAAUAAAACACUCUCGAUUUUUUGGGUUGGGUGUUAC
ensembl:lncRNA